AGCAGCCGCGGUAAUUCCAGCUCCAAUAGCGUAUAUUAAAGUUGUUGCAGUUAAAAAGCUCGUAGUUGAAUUUUAGGCCUGGCCGGGCGGUCCGUCUUUGGCGAGUACUGUCUGUUGUCGGGUCUUCCUUCUGGUGAACCAAUAUGUCCUUUAUUGGGUGUGCUGGGGAGCCAGGACCAUUACCUUGAAAAAAUUAGAGUGUUUAAAGCAGGCUUUUGCUUGAAUAGAUUAGCAUGGAAUAAUAGAAUAGGACGUUGUGGUUCUAUUUUGUUGGCUUCUAGGACCACCGUAAUGAUUAAUAGUGAUAGUUGGGGGCAUUAGUAUUCAAUUGUCAGAGGUGAAAUUCUUGGAUUUAUUGAAGACUAACUAUUGCGAAAGCAUUUGCCAAGGAUGUUUUCAUUAAUCAAGAACGAAAGUUAGGGGAUCGAAGACGAUCAGAUACCGUCGUAGUCUUAACCAUAAACCAUGCCGACUAGGAAUCGGGCGACGUUAUUUUAAUGACUCGCUCGGCGCCUUAUGG
rnacentral:rRNA from 1 species